UAAGAGGUCCCGCCUGCCCUGUGACUAUACGUUUAACGGCCGCGGUAUUUUGACCGUGCGAAGGUAGCGCAAUCACUUGUCUCUUAAAUGGGGACCUGUAUGAAUGGCAUAACGAGGGUUUAACUGUCUCCCUUUCCAAGUUAAUGAAAUUGAUCUCCCCGUGCAGAAGCGGGGAUACAAACAUAAGACGAGAAGACCCUAUGGAGCUUUAGGCAGCAAACAGAUCGUACUAAAUAUCCCCUAAUAAAGGAACAAAGCAUACGAAACCUGGCCCAAUGCCUUUGGUUGGGGCGACCGCGGGGAAACAAAAAACCCCCAUGUGGAACGGGACUACCCAUCCUCCAAACAAGAGCCCCCGCUCUAAAAAACAGAACAUCUGACCUACAAGAUCCGGCAGAGCCGAUCAACGAACCGAGUUACCCUAGGGAUAACAGCGCAAUCCCCUUAUAGAGCCCAUAUCGACAAGGGGGUUUACGACCUCGAUGUUGGAUCAGGAUAUCCUAAUGGUGCAGCCGCUAUUAAGGG
rnacentral:rRNA from 1 species